rnacentral:misc_RNA from 1 species
AAGGAUCAUUAUCACGUUAUCCACGUAUCAACCAAUUGUGCACUGUCUUAACCUUUAAGGAUUCAGCUGGGUAGCUCAACUCAUUGUGUGAUUUUGAGUGACUAUCUAAUUUAAAUGUUCUUUCGGGAUCAUUUAUAAUAUGGCUUUUUCUUUGAAGUGUAUUAAAUCACACUUUAAACUAUUAACCACUUGAACCUAAUUAAUUUAUCUUUGUUUGAACUGAUUUGUUUCUUACUCGACAUCUUAACCGAUAUUGAGAAGAAAUCAUUUUACGAAAUAAUAAAGAACAACUCUUAGCAACGGAUAUCUUGGUUCUC